rnacentral:rRNA from 1 species
GCCCUUAGAGUUUGAUCCUGGCUCAAGACGAACUCUGGCGGCGCGCCUAACACAUGCAAGUCGAACGGAGUCAAGAGGAGCUUGCUUUUCUUGACUUAGUGGCGAACGGGUGAGUAACGCGUGAGUAACCUGCCCUGGAGUGGGGGACAACAGUUGGAAACGACUGCUAAUACCGCAUAAGCACACGGCCCGGCAUCGGGCUGCGGGAAAAGAGAUUUAUUCGCUUCAAGAUGGACUCGCGUCCAAUUAGCUAGUUGGUGAGGUAACGGCCCACCAAGGCGACGAUUGGUAGCCGGACUGAGAGGUUGAACGGCCACAUUGGGACUGAGACACGGCCCACACUCCUACGGGAGGCAGCAGUGGGGGAUAUUGCACAAUGGGGGAAACCCUGAUGCAGCGACGCCGCGUGGAGGAAGAAGGUUUUCGGAUUGUACACUCCUGUCGUUAGGGACGAUAAUGACGGUACCUAACAAGAGAGCACCGGCUAACUACGUGCCAGCCAGCCGCGGUAAAAACGUAGGGUGCAAGCGUUGUCCGGAAUUACUGGGUGUAAAGGGAGCGCAGGCGGACCGGCAAGUUGGAAGUGAAAACUAUGGGCUCAACCCAUAAAUUGCUUUCAAAACUGCUGGCCUUGAGUAGUGCAGAGGUAGGUGGAAUUCCCGGUGUAGCGGUGGAAUGCGUAGAUAUCGGGAGGAACACCAGUGGCGAAGGCGACCUACUGGGCACCAACUGACGCUGAGGCUCGAAAGCAUGGGUAGCAAACAGGAUUAGAUACCCUGGUAGUCCAUGCCGUAAAC